rnacentral:lncRNA from 1 species
GGAGGAUGUGGGAUGUCCUUGUGACGGCUGAGGCACUGGGCGCACAAGGAGCCCAAGGCAGGGAGGGCUGACGGCACCGCAGCACUUGCACGGCGCGAGCAGCUGGCCAGGUGCUGGUGGUAGAAAGCUACAGCUCACCUUGAGAAGAGCUUUCCUGAACUUCUCUUUCCCUGACAGCUUGUCAAGGAAGUCGUAAUAGAAUUUCAUGUGGAAGGUCAGUCCAUCGAUGUGGAGCACUCCAAUGUCCUUGAAGACAACGGCAACGUUCUCCCCAUUCUUCAGGCAGCCAGAGAGCAGGGACACGGUGCUUUGGAUGCAAGCCUGCGCUGUCUGCCAGUGCUUCCCUGGAACUGCUUCUUGUGGCCAUCAGCCAGAACGGCCCCGUGUUUGGACGGGCUCCUCCGAGGGGGAGGUUUGCUUUGGAGAAUGGAGGCGGUGGCCCUGUUGGCCCUGUGCGU